rnacentral:lncRNA from 1 species
GAGCCGGGAAGCUGCGCAAACCCCAGCUGAGUUAAAAAUAGCAAUUGAUAAAGCUGCAAAGUCUCGCACCUCGGAGGAGUUCAAGCCAGCAUUCCUCCUGCCUGAGCAACCCUCGCCUGUGCCGUGCUGUCACUUGUGCCAUGCUGUCACUUGUGCCAUGCUACGAACGCGGGCAUGGGAUUUAAAACACAAUUUCAUGCUGCUUUCCCCACUCCUGGGACCCCUCGGGGUCAGGAGGAGCUGAGCUGGGGUGAAGGCACAUCUAGGAGAUGCAAAGGUAGGACCCCGUUCUCCAGGGCCAGCAGCAUCUUGUCUUAACCACUCUAGGUGGGUCCAUCUACUCAUUCCUGGCAAUGAAUAACCCACCAAGUCCUGUAGGAAACAUACCCUGUGUCUGCAGCAAGAGGUUACACACCAAUGUGCAUGUGCAAGAAGGUGAUCCUCUUGACUUUGACAGCUGAUGGAGCACAAGUGCAUCUGCAAGGGAGCACCUCAUUUGUCAUCUAUGGCAUGGACCAGACCUUAGCUCCAAAGCUUUCCAGAGAUACUGGAGCACAGCCCACGGGGUGGGAGUGGAAGGAGGGAAUAGCUGCAGCUUGGCUUCUCCUCUCUGACCACCAGCCAGCUCCCUAUCUCGGGAUGGAUCCAGCAGCAGCGCGGGAGCUCGCAUCCAAGAAGCCCCAGUGCUUUGCCAGGGCCACACAGGUAGCAAAGAGCCUUAGAGAAAGUCAAGUGCAACAUCUGGGAGUCUUUUUUUUUUUUCUUUUUUUAUUUUUUUUUUCCCCCGUUGCCUCCCCUGUAUUUCAGAGCGCUCACUCUCUGGUGUGCAAGGAGAGCUUGCCAAAGCUGAAAAUGCUCCAGUCUCCCACACGAACACCCCUGCGUGUCUGUCUAGGGAAGCUGCAUCAGAGGACAACCGCUGUAUUCUGA